CAGUCGCCACGGUAAUACCGAGGGUGCAAGCGUUAAUCGGAAUUACUGGGCGUAAAGCGCGCGUAGGUGGUUUGUUAAGUUGGAUGUGAAAUCCCCGGGCUCAACCUGGGAACUGCAUCCAAAACUGGCAGGCUAGAGUAGGGCAGAGGGUGGUGGAAUUUCCUGUGUAGCGGUGAAAUGCGUAGAUAUAGGAAGGAACACCAGUGGCGAAGGCGACCACCUGGGCUCAUACUGACACUGAGGUGCGAAAGCGUGGGGAGCAAACAGGAUUAGAUACCCCUGUAGUCCCUGUCUCUUAUAC
rnacentral:rRNA from 1 species